rnacentral:tmRNA from 1 species
AACAAUAGUUGCCAACAACGACAACUACGCACUAGCCGCCUAAUACCGGCUAGUCCUUUCACCUUUGCUUGAUUGUGGGCGGGGAUUCGAAAGGUCAUCUUACACAGUAUCGCGACGAAGCAUGUCUGUGGCGGAGUCGUUAAACUUAAAGCAGAAUCGCUGUGCGUUUUUCCCGUUUGCCGGAUAGCGUACAGUUAAAUUAAAUGCGCAAACUAAGCAUGUAGAUCUGGAGUGUAGAGGACUUGUGGACGGGAGUUCGAUUCUCCCCGCCUCCACCA